AUGAAGGUGUCGUCGGAGAAGCCGCCCGGAACCUUGACGGAAGCGGUAUCGGCGCCGUGC
rnacentral:sRNA from 1 species